UCCCAUAUGGUCUAACGGUUAUGAUGUGGCGCUUUCAUCUGAAAGCUUCCGCCAAGCCCUGGGUUCGACUCCCAGUAUGGGAG